rnacentral:rRNA from 1 species
UACGUAGGUGGCAAGCGUUGUCCGGAUUUAUUGGGCGUAAAGCGAGCGCAGGCGGUUCCUUAAGUCUGAUGUGAAAGCCCACGGCUCAACCGUGGAAGGUCAUUGGAAACUGGGGAACUUGAGUGCAGAAGAGGAGAGUGGAAUUCCAUGUGUAGCGGUGAAAUGCGUAGAUAUAUGGAGGAACACGAGUGGCGAAGGCGACUCUCUGGUCUGUAACUGACGCUGAGGCUCGAAAGCGUGGGGAGCAAACAGGAUUAGA